rnacentral:rRNA from 1 species
UACGUAGGGUCCGAGCGUUGUCCGGAAUUAUUGGGCGUAAAGGGCUCGUAGGCGGUUCGUCACGUCGGGAGUGAAAACUCGGGGCUUAACCCGGAGCCUGCUUCCGAUACGGGCAGACUAGAGGUAGGCAGGGGAGAGCGGAACUCCUGGUGUAGCGGUGGAAUGCGCAGAUAUCAGGAAGAACACCGGUGGCGAAGGCGGCUCUCUGGGCCUUACCUGACGCUGAGGAGCGAAAGCGUGGGUAGCGAACAGG